GUUAUUUUUAUGUUCUGAAAGAUGAGUGCUACUGAACUCGAGACCGCAAGAUGGAAGCAAAACCAAAAUAUUUUCAAGUCAGUGACUGCCUCCAGCUAAAAGUUGAAACGCCCUGCAAGUGGGGCUUGACUUCUAACGCGGUUAAAACCACUGCAAGGCUGAUAAUAGCAAACCAUCGGAUUGGAAGUGGUUUUUGAUGUGGUUUUCCAUGUGGAGGAAAGAAAACUGUCCCACUCAUUUUGAAGCUGAUUUGGAUGCAGAGGAAGCAGCAUGAGGGAGUUCUGAGCCAGUUACAACCUGAUUGACCUGCUUUAGCCAUCAGACUGCUCUGGGAGCUUCAGAA